GGGGAAUGUGACAGCCGACCCUACUGUCACACAGACCUGAAUGUUUCCUUUGGAGCUGCUGCUGGAGGGUCACAGAAGAGCUCCAGCUAAUUGACAUCCAUAUAUGGUUGGCAAACCUCCUCAGCGGGCCAUUCCAUUUGUUUGCCAGGGGACGGGGAAAUUUGGUUUUCUUUCAUUUAAUUUGACCAGUUCUUUAAUGUUUCUUCUAUUUGGUAGUUUCAGUCCAAUGUUUGUUUAAUUUAAAGAUUUGGUGUUGUAUUGAUUAGUAUUUAUUUAAGUUUUUGUAUGUUUAAUUACCCCUUGUGUGUCAGCUGUGGUCUGAUCAGCCACUAUUUAAGCUCCCCUCAUGUCUUGUUUGUUAGGUCAGUUUUGUGCUUGAGUUCUUUGUGUUACUACCUGAGUUGGAGUUUGUUAUGUUGACCUCAGUUUUUGGGCCCAGUUCUUCAUUGUUUAAUUAUUUUUGAACUUUUUUGUAAUAAAUUAAGAUUAUUUUUGGAUUCCA